GACCGACUUUGACUAACGUACUCGGCAAGGCGGGACUGCCGAAUUUUCCACCACUUUCUUUGCUUUUCUCGGGAACCAAACAAAUCCUCGGAAAAACCAUCACCUCUAAAACCCUAAACCCUGAUUAAGGUAAAACCGCAAUGGAGGACGCUCGUGGCAAGGCGGUGUGCGGCCAGGAGGCUCUGGAUCUGCUCAACUGCGUCGCUCAGUCUCCUUUCGAUCAAGACAGAUGCGUUCGCCUCUUGCAUUCCCUGCGAGAAUGCGUGCUCAAUAAGAAAGUGAAGAAGUUUUCACUAGCUGACCAGGAACAGAAGGAUGCAAAGCCACAUUGAUCGGACAGCCUGAUUGCAUUUGGUGCUGAUAGGAUUCUUCGGCAGAGAUCUUUCUCGUACAGAUGACUUCUUUCCUUCCCCUCUUCAUUUUGAAUUUUUGACAGUGAAAAACUGACAAUUAUUGAGGUUUUAUUACUACGUAACUCCAUGCUUUGUAUCUGAUAUCGGAAAUGAUGUUUGCAAAAUGUUAUUCUGAUCUGGAUUUGUUUCGCAUUUUACAAA